UGUUUUGAGAUGAUCGAUUUGGAGCCAGGUGCAGGAGGGAAUAGAAGAAAUGAGCGUCCAGGCAAGCAGGGAGUACUUCCGCCUCACAGCUGUAAAUUAGCUGUCGCCAACAAAUAAGUGUCAGAAUCAUGACUUGAACCCAGAUCUUCUGUCUCCAGUGCCCUGGCCAAACCUUCAUGCUUGAGACUACAAGGGAAAAAGAAAAAAGAA
rnacentral:lncRNA from 1 species